GAAGGGAACGGACGUCAGGUUGGUGGGCUGCUCGCCGGACGUCAGGUUGACGAAGGGAACGGACGUCAGGUUGGUGGGCUGCUCGCCGGACGUCAGGUUGACGAAGGAAACGGACGUCAGGUUGGAGGGCUGAUCGCCGGACGUCAGGUUGGAGGGUUGAUCGCCGGACGUCAGGUUGGAGGGCUGAUCGCCGGACGUCAGGUUGGAGGGCUGAUCGCCGGACGUCAGG